UACAGAGGUCUCAAGCGUUGUUCGGAUUCACUGGGUUUAAAGGGUGCGUAGGUGGGCAGGUAAGUCAGUGGUGAAAUCUCCGGGCUUAACCCGGAAACUGCCAUUGAUACUAUCUGUCUUGAAUACCCUGGAGGUGAGCGGAAUAUGUCAUGUAGCGGUGAAAUGCUUAGAUAUGACAUAGAACACCCAUUGCGAAGGCAGCUCACUACGGGAAUAUUGACACUGAGGCACGAAAGCGUGGGGAUCAAACAGG
rnacentral:rRNA from 1 species